GUCCACGCCCUAAACGAUGUCAACUAGUUGUUGGUAGAGUAAAUCUAUGAGUAACGCAGCUAACGCGUGAAGUUGACCGCCUGGGGAGUACGAUCGCAAGAUUAAACUCAAAUGAAUUGACGGGGGCCCGCACAAGCGGUGGAUUAUGUGGAUUAAUUCGAUGCAACGCGAAAACCUUACCUGGCCUUGACAUGUACGGAACUUUCCAGAGAUGGAUUGGUGCUCGAAAGAGAACCGUAACACAGGUGCUGCAUGGCUGUCGU
rnacentral:rRNA from 1 species